GUUACAUUUUUAAGUAUUUGUUUUUAUUAAGGUUUUUUUUUGAGUUAUUUAAACAUUUAAAUACAAAGUAAAUUAGUGAAAUGAUUUUUUGUGAUGGUUUAAAGUGUGAGAAAAGUUUUUAUCGGCGAAAAUAGGUAAAUUUGUGAGGUUAUGGUGGACAAUAACAACUUCAUACUAGCUGGCGGGUGGCGCGAAAUGUAGUACGUCUGAACUCUGACUUCAAAAAACUAUAAGGAGGUGAUGGCGGCGGCAAGUCCUGGCUGUCAGUAAUCGGAGGUCUCCUCCUGUUGGUCGGUGUGCUCGCGUUGGUAUACAAACUGUUCCUAGAACAGCUCCUUAGACCCAGAAGAUGUCCCAGAAUAGACCCUAAAGUACGACGCUGGCCAAUGGAACAAAAACCAUGGAUACCAUGGGACAAAAUAAAAAAAAUGUGGUCAUAUCUUUUAAAGGCCAUACGUGACGCCUUACGUGACAGAAUAUGUGAUUAAUAAAUUGAUAAGCCAGCA